rnacentral:rRNA from 1 species
UACGGAGGGGGCUAGCGUUGUUCGGAAUUACUGGGCGUAAAGCGCACGUAGGCGGCUUUGUAAGUUAGAGGUGAAAGCCCGGGGCUCAACUCCGGAGUUGCCUUUAAGACUGCAUCGCUAGAAUUGUGGAGAGGUAAGUGGAAUUCCGAGUGUAGAGGUGAAAUUCGUAGAUAUUCAGAAGAACACCAGUGGCGAAGGCGACUUACUGGACACAUAUUGACGCUGAGGUGCGAAAGCGUGGGGAGCAAACAGG